rnacentral:rRNA from 1 species
CCCGCUCAGAAACUCAAAGGAAUUGACGGGGACCCGCACAAGCAGCGGAGCAUGUGGUUUAAUUCGAAGCAACGCGAAGAACCUUACCAGGUCUUGACAUCCUCUUGCAAGCGUCCUAGCCGACGCCCUCCUUCGGGACAAGAGAGACAGGUGGUGCAUGGUUGUCGUCAGCUCGUGUCGUGAGAUGUUGGGUUAAGUCCCGCAACGAGCGCAACCCUUGUGUUUAGUUGCCAACAGGUUAAGCUGUGCACUCUAAACAGACUGCCGUGGAUAACACGGAGGAAGGUGGGGAUGACGUCAAAUCAUCAUGCCCCUUAUGAUCUGGGCUACACACGUGCUACAAUGGUCGGUACAACGGGCAGCGAAAGAGUGAUCUGGAGCGAAUCCUAAAAAGCCGAUCCCAGUUCGGAUUGCAGGCUGAAACUCGCCUACAUGAAGUUGGAGUUGCUAGUAAUCGCGAAUCAGAAUGUCGCGGUGAAUGCGUUCCCGGGUCUU